rnacentral:rRNA from 1 species
UACGGGGGGAGCAAGCGUUGUUCGGAUUUACUGGGCGUAAAGGGCGCGUAGGCGGCCACCGCAAGUCGACUGUGAAAUCUCCGGGCUUAACCCGGAGAGGUCAGCCGAUACUGCGGGGCUAGAGUGCAGAAGGGGCAACUGGAAUUCUCGGUGUAGCGGUGAAAUGCGUAGAUAUCGAGAGGAACACCUGCGGCGAAGGCGGGUUGCUGGGCUGACACUGACGCUGAGGCGCGAAAGCUAGGGUAGCAAACGGG